GUAAGAGAAUUAUUUUUAAAAAGCUUCUAAGAUAAAGAGCACAGGUGGCUACCACCAGCAUGAGGAGCCCACUUCAAAUUGAUGAAGUAAAAGAAGCAAAAUGCAGCGUUCAAGGCAUGUUUCAAGAAGUUGGCUUGUGGGACUUUGAGAGAUGCUGCUAUCUGUGACAGGCUGGAAGUAUCAUGAUCAACUACUCAGUUUGGAUUUCACCCAGUGGCCAUGAGCUUUGUUUGGUAGACAGCAGGGGCUGGAUUUUUAAAAAAGAGCAAACCAGGUAA